rnacentral:tRNA from 1 species
GGUUCCGUGGCGUAGGGGUUAACAUGCCUGCCUGUCACGCAGGAGAUCGCGGGUUCAAAUCCCGUCGGGACCG